AACGAACGCUGGCGGCAUGCCUAACACAUGCAAGUCGAACGAGACCUUCGGGUCUAGUGGCGCACGGGUGCGUAACGCGUGGGAACCUGCCUUUAGGUUCGGAAUAACUCAGAGAAAUUUGAGCUAAUACCGGAUGAUGUCUUCGGACCAAAGAUUUAUCGCCUUUAGAUGGGCCCGCGUUGGAUUAGCUAGUUGGUGGGGUAAAGGCCUACCAAGGCGACGAUCCAUAGCUGGUCUGAGAGGAUGAUCAGCCACACUGGGACUGAGACACGGCCCAGACUCCUACGGGAGGCAGCAGUGGGGAAUAUUGGACAAUGGGCGAAAGCCUGAUCCAGCAAUGCCGCGUGAGUGAUGAAGGCCUUAGGGUUGUAAAGCUCUUUUACCCGAGAUGAUAAUGACAGUAUCGGGGGAAUAAGCUCCGGCUAACUCCGUG
rnacentral:rRNA from 1 species